GACGAACGCUGGCGGCGUGCUUAACACAUGCAAGUCGAACGGAAAGGCCCUGCUUUUGUGGGGUGCUCGAGUGGCGAACGGGUGAGUAACACGUGAGUAACCUGCCCUUGACUUUGGGAUAACUUCAGGAAACUGGGGCUAAUACCGGAUAGGAGCUCCUGCUGCAUGGUGGGGGUUGGAAAGUUUCGGCGGUUGGGGAUGGACUCGCGGCUUAUCAGCUUGUUGGUGGGGUAGUGGCUUACCAAGGCUUUGAAGGGUAGCCGGCCUGGGAGGGUGACCGGGGACAAUAGGACUGAGGUACGGACCAGAAUCCUACGGGAGGCAGCAGUGGGGAGUAUUGCGCAAUGGGCGGAAGCCUGAGGCGGCGACGCCGCGUGCGGGAUGACGGGCUUCGGGUUGUGAACCGCUUUCGCCUGUGACGAAGCGUGAGUGACGGUAAUGGGUAAAGAAGCACCGGCUAACUACGUG
rnacentral:rRNA from 1 species